rfam:Danio rerio chromosome 7, GRCz11 reference primary assembly.
ACAACGGCUCUUUUCAGAGCCACCUCAGUCUAACUUAAAAGAUCAA